rnacentral:tRNA from 1 species
CAGUAUUUAGUUCAAUAGUAGAAUAUAAUUUUUGGGGAAUUAUGAUCUGAGUGCAAUUCUUAGAAUACUGA